UUUCAUACUGCUGUUGAUGAUGUGAAUUUUGGAAAUAUUCUCCCCUAUUGGGUCUUUCUCCAUGACAGAUGAUGUCCUUUGGCUUCGGUUUUUUGCCUAAGAACUGUAAGUGGUGCUUGCUAGCCCUACUAAGAAUCCUGCCAUUGUUGCAAAUUUCAGAAAAAAGGCUGGAGUGCAGUGGUGCACACGCCUCACACUGUGACACAGCGGGAGAGCCCAGAGCGACAGCUGUUGGAAUGACUGCACUCUUCCUGCUCAAGUCUGACCUUUCCAAGGUAAUGGUGCUCAGAAAAAGAAGCCAAUCAGGAGAUCUGUUUUCUGUGCCCUUUUAACACUUCUAACUCAGGCACCCAAACCAGCCUGUAGCAGAAAGAGCAUCAAAGCCAUCCUCUGGACUCUACACAAGGGUCUCACUCUGUCACCCAGGUUGGAGUAAAGUGGUAUGAUCAUGGCUCACUGCAGCCUCGAACUCCUGGGCUCAAGCAAUCCUCCUGCCUCAGCCUCCUGAGUAGCUGGGACUACAGCCUUUGUCCUAUGUCUGGAGACUUCUUGGAAGCUGGAGCACACAAAUAGCUACAGCAAACUUGAGGAAUGGGCAUGAAUAGACUGGCUUCGGGGAACCUGCCAGCUUGGCCGUGUGGCCAAGGUAAUAGGCAAGCCAAGGCAGAGCUAGAGCUCAGAGCUGGAGGGGAAAUUAAAGCAGCAAAUGUAGAAACAUUAAGCCUGAAGAGGCGACGACGUUGAAUUCUAAAAUGCAGGCCAAAGCUCAGACUGCAAGCUGUCUGGCUGCUCCGGGUGUGCCCAGAAGUCAAAGUCCAGCAGGGGCAAAGGUGGAGGUGUGGUCCUGCACGUGGGGUGUUGGGGGGAUGUGGAAGAGGAGGUGCUUUAAGAUCCAGAGAUUCCAGCUGCCCUGGUGCACCCUUGGAAGAAUAAAAGGCUAGGAACUGGACAAGUCAGGCUCGAGUCCAAGCUGCCUGAGGAAUCGGGGAAAGAAUGGAGCUCAGAGUGGGAGGUCAGGGCAGUAUUUAAAAAUCCAGGAUAGCAGCAAAGCUGGCGGUGGCCCCUGACUCUGGUAAGGGCAGCCUGCAGCACCAUGCCAAGGGGGGCCUGACUGAUCAUGCCCUGCAUUUGCAAACAAGGAUUAGUAGGGUAUGAGUAGGAUUCUGCUGGUGCCUGGGAAGGCAGUGCCAUCUACAACUUUACAAAGUUUUAACAAAGGCCUGAAGGACACAACCUUCCCCAAAGUCCUGACGUCGCUGUUUGCUGGCAACAAAUAGAGUCAAAAGAAGAGAGGCACAGAAUGUGCCAGGGGUGUGCUGCGUACAGCCCCGAUGACCACAAGGCCUUCUUGGGUCAAGUUCUGCCAUCUCUGGUUAAGAUGGGCUCACCCUCUAGGACCCUGAUUGAGUCCUCGGACCACCAAGAGUGCCCCACCAAGAGCCUCCCUCUUCUGGUGACUCGUGCCUGCUUCCCGUGGAGAGCUCCAGAAGGGAGGAAACUGUGAGGAGGUGGAGAACGUGGCAGGGAUCCUAACUUUCUUACUGAAGGAAGUUCUUCACAAGUACCCAUCUGCCUUCAGGGAAGAAAACAUAACUCAUUUUGGUCUUUCAAAUUCAGUUCUCAAAACCAAAUCCUGUUGUCAGCAAUCUGUGUCCCAACGCCUUCUUCAGCAACAGCAUUUUCCCUGUGGAAUUAGUUUCCAAUGUUCUUUCUUAAAUAAACCACUGAAGAUUAAAAGGAAUCCAGAUACCCACCACAUUUUGUUUCCUUAAUGAGUAAUUAUCACAUUUCUUUGGCUACUUAAAUGCAUUCUCUGAGUCAGGUAAAGGAGAUCGUAAUAGUUAAUCAACAAGAAGUAAUUCUUGGGUACUUAACAAUAGUCUAAGCACUUAAUCAUACUUAAAAUUGACUAUUAAUGAACCUUAUAAACCAUUUUGCAAUUCUGAAAGUGAAUUUCUCUGCAGGCUUAGAGAUUACUAAGCCAUUUAGAUCUUACCAAACAAAUAUUAUUCAUGCUUUAAUUCCUGGGAAAAGAAAUUUAGAAAAUGAGGUUAAUGUUCAGUUGUCCUUUCCUGAGUUUAACAAUUAUAUAUUCCAUCUGGGAUGCUCUGAACUCAGGUUAAACAUUCUUCAAGUUAUUCCCACAUUUUUCAAGUUAUUCCCACGUUAGUGACCUACUUUAUUAGUAUUAUUACUAAAGAAAAGGGCUGGGUGCGGUGGCCCACAUCUGUAAUCCCAGCACUUUGGGAGGCUGAAGCAGGAGGAUCACUUGAGCUUGGGAGUUCAAGACCAGCCUGAGAGGGAGACUCCGUCUCUACAAAAAAAAAAAAAUUAGCCAGGUAUGGUGGCACGCGCUCAUGGGCCCAGCUACUCAAGGAGGCUGAGGUGGGAGGAUCACGUGAACCUGGGAGGCAGAGCCUGCAGUGAGCCCUGGUUGUGCCUCUGUACUCAAGCCUGAGAGACAGAGUGAGACCCUGUCUCCAAACAAUAAAGUAAAAUAAAUAAAUAAAUAAAUAAGAAUGCAAAUCAAAGACAUUAAGAAAUAGCUUUACUUUAAUGUAGGCAUUUAAGGUAAAAUAGGUCACAUUCUCUUUUUUAAAAAAAUUACUGACCCACAGAAAAACAAGUCAAAAAGCAGACUAUUUCAUAUUAGUGUCUUUUUUUUAAAGAGGAUUAAUAUAAAUUGCCUUCUCACCUGUUUUUAAAAUAAAGGACUGAAUGAUAGAACUUAGACAACAAAUCUAGUAGCAUGAUAAAAGCCUUUCUUUGAUAGCUAGAAAAGGUAAACAAAGAAUAAAACAGGGUGAAGAAGAAAGAGGACAGAUAGAAUGUGAAUAUUAUCUACCUUUUUCUCAAGAUAAAACUAAUAUUGCUUUCUAAAAAGAAGCAAUUCUUUAGAGCAGAGGUCAGCAAACUUUUUCUAUAAAGAGCCAGAUAUUAACUAUUUUAUAAUUUGCAAACCACAUAAGUCCUCUGUUUCAUAUGGGUUUUUUUCUUUUUUCUUUUUAAACAAUACUUUAAAAAUGCUGAAAAUAUUCUUAGCUUACAUCUACAAAAAAGCAGGCAGUGGGCUGAUUUGACUCACAGGUGGUAUAGCUUGCUAAUUCCUGCUUUAGAUUUUAAGAAUGAGGCAGAUGUUGCCAGAAUUUGCUCUAAUUUACUAUGAGGUUUGCAAAUAAAAGUGCUCUUGACAUGAAAACUUGCUAUUUUUAAUGGAAAGACAUGUACAGCCCUUUCUCAGGAAGUGGAGAUUAAUGCAUAAAAUUUUAUUUUCCUAACAUAAAGCAUGUUUUUUCAAAAAAUGGCUUCUCCAUCUUGUGGCCCUUUGAUUAUGAUAGCUCUGAAAGCUUUGAAAAGCUUGCAAAUACUCAACUUCAGGAAUAAAACCACCUAUGAGACCCUCACCUGAAGGCAGGAUCUUUCCUGCAGCCUUGAGUCUUCCUAAUCAGAACCAUUGUUUCGUAAACUGGACUCCGAAGACAACACUUAAAGUCACUCAAGUUCGCUACAAAAUUCUUGUUUUGUGUUUUCAUUUCUAAAGACAAUAAAAAUAAUUGAUAUGAUCAAGUUUGGGAUUAUCUAGAUGAUCUAGACAACUAUUGCGGUCAAAAUAGGCCUGAUCACAGGCAUUUUCAGUACCCAUGGAAUUCUAGAGCUUUGGAUACUUGUCUAGUCUGUUUGGGUCACUAUAACAAAAUGCCAUAAACUGGGUGCUUAUAAAGAACAGAAUUUUAUUUCCCACAGUUCUGCAGGCUGGGAAGUCCAAAAUCGAGGCAGAUUUGAUGUCCUCAAGUGAUGGAAGAAUCAAGAGGUCUCUCUGGGGGCUCUUUUAUAAGGGCACUAACCCCAUUCAUGAGAGCAGAGCCUAAUUACCUCCCUAAGGCCCCAACUCCUAAUACUAUCACCUUGAGGGUGAGGAGGGAAACAUAAAAAUACCAUAGUAAUACUAAUAGGUACAUCAGUGAAGAACAAUAUCACAGUAUCGUGUAGACAGGAAGAUUUUGCUGCAAUUUGGUUGUUAAAACAAAAAGUCGUGGGUGGAUACAAUCAUCAGACAGUUCAGAAGUGGCAUCCACGUACUCACCCAAAGGAGGUGCACUGCAGUUGUGGGAGCCCUGUGCUUGCUACUAGCAGUGACUUAAUUUCUGCAAAGCUAUGUGAUCACAUUCAACUAUGCUAGUUAACUUUAAUUUUACUGAAUUUGGUUUAGGUAGGUAGUUUGUAAAUUUAACUUUCUACUUGUAUAAGAAGUAUAAUUAUAAAAACAGCAGGUCAGCACGACAGGUCUGAGAGAAUCUGUAUUCUGUAAAAAAAUACCUAUUUCUUACUUGGCGAAAAACAUUAGUCAAUGUUGCACCAAAAACCCCCCAAAAGCUAUAGAUCAGAUAUUGACUAAAAUGAAUAUACAAAAAUCUUGACUGGAAAUAUUUUAAGUCAAAACUAACAGCCUAUUUCAGGUAUUGACAGAACAAAUUCCAGAAGCAGAAUAACUGAAACAAUCAUGUUGAAAUUAAUUAUAAUGGGCAGAAUUUGACUGAAACUUGUUACCACCUUCACCAAAAUAUAGCCUUUCUUAUACUAUCAAAUGUAUUGAAUAAAUUGUGAGCACUUUCUUGUACAACUUCUAAAAAUUUAGCUUUGCUUUUGUUAUCUGAAUAUUGUACAGGAAUAUGAGCAUGCAAAUAAGAUCUUUGUUUAGUUUCAAGUCUUUUUAUAACUAAAUCUGCUGGCAUUAGACAAUAAAU
rnacentral:lncRNA from 1 species